UACGGAGGGUGCAAGCGUUAUCCGGAAUCACUGGGUUUAAAGGGUGCGCAGGCGGCGCGGUAAGUCAGUUGUGAAAUCCCCCGGCUCAACCGGUGGGACUGCGAUUGAUACUGUCGCGCUUGAAUCGGGUUGAGGCAGGCGGAAUGUGGCAUGUAGCGGUGAAAUGCUUAGAUAUGCCAUAGAACACCGAUUGCGAAGGCAGCUUGCUGGGCCCGUAUUGACGCUGAGGCACGAAAGCGUGGGGAGCAAACAGG
rnacentral:rRNA from 1 species